UACGUAGGGUGCGAGCGUUGUCCGGAAUUAUUGGGCGUAAAGAGCUCGUAGGCGGUUUGUUGCGUCGGCCGUGAAAACCUGCAGCUUAACUGCGGGCUUGCAGCCGAUACGGGCAGGCUAGAGUUCGGUAGGGGAGACUGGAAUUCCUGGUGUAGCGGUGAAAUGCGCAGAUAUCAGGAGGAACACCGGUGGCGAAGGCGGGUCUCUGGACAGUUCCUGACACUGAGGCACGAAGGCCAGGGGAGCAAACGGG
rnacentral:rRNA from 1 species